rnacentral:rRNA from 1 species
CGAGCGACAGAAAAGGAGCUUGCUCCUUUGACGUUAGCGGCGGACGGGUGAGUAACACGUGGGCAACCUACCCUAUAGUUUGGGAUAACUCCGGGAAACCGGGGCUAAUACCGAAUAAUCUCUUUUGCUUCAUGGUGAAAGACUGAAAGACGGUUUCGGCUGUCGCUAUAGGAUGGGCCCGCGGCGCAUUAACUAGUUGGUGAGGUAACGGCUCACCAAGGCGACGAUGCGUAACCGACCUGAGAGGGUGAUCGGCCACACUGGGACUGAAACACGGCCCAGACUCCUACGGGAGGCAGCAGUAGGGAAUCUUCCACAAUGGGCGAAAGCCUGAUGGAACAACGCCGCGUGAGUGAAGAAGGUUUUCGGAUCGUAAAACUCUGUUGUAAGGGAAGAACAAGUACAGUAGUAACUGGCUGUACCUUGACGGUACCUUAUUAAAAAGCCACGGCUAACUACGUGCCAGCAGCCGCGGUAAUACGUAAGUGGCAAGCGUUGUCCGGAAUUAUUGGGCGUAAAGCGCGCGCAGGCGGUCCUUUAAGUCUGAUGUGAAAGCCCACGGCUCAACCGUGGAGGGUCAUUGGAAACUGGGGGACUUGAGUGCAGAAGAGGAAAGUGGAAUUCCAAGUGUAGCGGUGAAAUGCGUAGAGAUUUGGAGGAACACCAGUGGCGAAGGCGACUUUCUGGUCUGUAACUGACGCUGAGGCGCGAAAGCGUGGGGAGCAAACAGGAUUAGAUACCCUGGUAGUCCACGCCGUAAACGAUGAGUGCUAAGUGUU